rnacentral:rRNA from 1 species
GUAGCGUGAAGGAUGACUGCCCUAUGGGUUGUAAACUUCUUUUAUAAAGGAAUAAAGUCGGGUAUGCAUACCCGUUUGCAUGUACUUUAUGAAUAAGGAUCGGCUAACUCCGUGCCAGCAGCCGCGGUAAUACGGAGGAUCCGAGCGUUAUCCGGAUUUAUUGGGUUUAAAGGGAGCGUAGAUGGAUGUUUAAGUCAGUUGUGAAAGUUUGCGGCUCAACCGUAAAAUUGCAGUUGAUGCUGGAUGUCUUGAGUGCAGUUGAGGCAGGCGGAAUUCGUGGUGUAGCGGUGAAAUGCUUAGAUAUCACGAAGAACUCCGAUUGCGAAGGCAGCCUGCUAAGCUGCAACUGACAUUGAGGCUCGAAAGUGUGGGUAUCAAACAGGAUUGGAUACCCUGGUAGUCCACACGGUAAACGAUGAAUACUCGCUGUUUGCGAUAUACGGCAAGCGGCCAAGCGAAAGCGUUAAGUAUUCCACCUGGGGAGUACG